GACGAACGCUGGCGGCGUGCUUAACACAUGCAAGUCGAACGGAGUUGCCUGAUCUGAUUCUUUCGGGAUGACGAACUUGCAACUUAGUGGCGAACGGGUGAGUAACGCGUGAGGAACCUGCCCCGGAGUGGGGGACAACAGUUGGAAACGACUGCUAAUACCGCAUAAGCCCACAGUACCGCAUGGUACAGAGGGAAAAGGAGCAAUUCGCUUUGGGAUGGCCUCGCGUCCAAUUAGCUAGUUGGUGAGGUAACGGCCCACCAAGGCGACGAUUGGUAGCCGGACUGAGAGGUUGAACGGCCACAUUGGGACUGAGAUACGGCCCAGACUCCUACGGGAGGCAGCAGUGGGGAAUAUUGCACAAUGGGGGGAACCCUGAUGCAGCGACGCCGCGUGGAGGAAGAAGGGUCUUCGGGAUUGUAAACUCCUGUUGUUAGGGACGAUAAUGACGGUACCUAACAAGGAAGCACCGGCUAACUACGUG
rnacentral:rRNA from 1 species